AUAUUUACCUGGUCGGGGUUUAUGGGUGAUCAAGAAGGGCCAUUGCCUAGGUUGGUGACCUCCAUUGCACUUGGGAGGGGUGCCCACUUGACAUGACCCCAAGUGGAAGAGUAUACGUCAUAAUUUGUGGCAGCAGGGUACGCGUUCACGCGGCCCCUAC